AAUCAGACGCCACGCGGCGCGCGGCCACGGGUGGCGCCAGACGCAGCGGAGGGCACGAGCCGACACACUCCCCCUCCCUCUCCUGUCACCGAACAUCAGCCUGCCAACAAGCACCACCCCGCACCCCCCACCUCCACCCCCCGCGUCGUGAGGACGACACACGUAUCCGUUCAUAACCUCCGCCAUUAUUCAUCGCCCCCUCCCCCCCUGCAGGGUCUUGCCGCUUCCUCGCCACCUGCCUCUCCUCCUUCCUGCCUCGCGCUCGCUCGUGCCAAGCCCAGCCGCAGGGAAGUAAACAAACAUGUCGGGGAUGACGAGCGGCGUGUGCGUGGAGAGCGAUCUGUCCUCGGUCCUCCAGAGAAGCUCCGCCUCCUCGCACCAUCAUCCAAAUCACCAUGGCUACGGUGCACAGGGCCAGGUGUCCACGCUGGCGCCGGUGUUGGACUACAGCAGCGAGAUGGACCGCUACCGCUCGUCCAUCGCCAGCUUCUACAAGACCAACGUUAACAUGGAUGUCACCAGCUUCCCGCCGUCCGCCAAGCUGGCGGCCCGAUUGGCAGCGGCUGCCCCCAUCUUCCCCCCUGCAGCCACCAGACUGGGCGCCAUGGCGGCAGCGCCCUGGGGUUGCCACGACAACAUGAACCAUCCGGCGGCAGUCUUCUGGGGCCGGCCUAAGCCCGCCGCCACGCAUCACCACCACCACCACCCAACUCCAACCACACCUUCAGGUCACAUGACCCCUUCACACCCCCAUAGCAGUGUCAUGCACCAGGGCAGCGGUGCACCAGGUGCGGUGGGCGGUGGACGGCCCGACGAGGGUGGACGGACAGAAAAACAUUCACUUCCUGUUGCUCAAACACCCCACCACCACCCUAUGGCGCCGAGCAAUGGGAACUUCCCGCCGGGCUAUGGAGGAGGGGCUGACUGUGGCAUCAACAAGCAAGGACAUGCCCACCAAGAUGUGAUGGGCCUGUCAGAGGGAGGGAGCUGCAAUGGGGGAGGGGUUCUCGGAAGCAGCUUCUUAGGGGGCCUGGGCUUACCCCCGGGUGUCAUUGUCAUGGCGAUGGGGUCAGCCGGGGGUGGGAUUUCAGACGCCAGCAGCGCUUUCCAGAUGACGGGCAGCCAGCGAGUGCCGGUGGACUGCCAGCAGCACGCCAACACUUCCCCCUGUCCCGCCUCUACCUCGCCCUCAGGUGUGACUGCGGGGGGUGUGGUCUUGUCAUCGUCGUCAGGGGCGGCAGCCAAGAGAAAGAGGAAACGGUGUGGCGUCUGCGGGCCGUGCAGGCGCCUCAUCAACUGUGGCGUGUGUUCGUCAUGUCGCAACAGGAAGACAGGUCACCAGAUCUGCAAGUUCCGGAAGUGCGAAGAACUCAAGAAGAAGCCGGGGGGAGGCGGGGGAGGGGCACUGGAGAGACCGCCAUCUGUCCCGACCGGUGAGGCCUUCCGUUGGUUCUUCUAGUCAGCCCUGGAGGCCAAACAGGAAGUGGUCAUCACACUGGACUAACGUGUGUGCGUGUGUGAGAGGGACUGUUGACAGCUGCUUCCUGGUGGCUGCUUGCUGUGUAUGUCAUUACCUCCGCCCUCCCCACGUGUGAGCAGAGGGCUCUAAGUGUGGGCGGGGAUUCAUGCUAACGUCUGACACACAGCGUGGCCGUUCUUGUCCGGACUCCACCUGAAACGCUCGGCCUCAAGAGGUGAAGCGUGUGAGCUGAGCAGGAGUUCCACCACACAAAGGACUACAACAUGGAGGACUACAAGUACCACGUGACCUCUACAAAUGCUCCUCUUCAAGAAGCCUCCAAUGGAUUUCCUGUCUCGGACACGACUCUGACAGUGUUGUAGUUUUAUGACGAAGUCGAGAUCCGGCAGACUUGGACAAGAACCAUGCAGGCAGCUUUAAACAAGGAAGAAAAUGUCAACACCCUCUUUCAAGAGCCCUACCAUGAAGACACACACACACACACACACACACACACACACACACACACACACACACACACACACACACACACACACACACACACACACACACACACACACACACACACACACACACACACACACACACACACACACACACACACACGUCAGCUGAUUGCUUCACAUUGAGUGCUCAUGUGAACAACAGUGGUGCGAGGCAGAACGCUGGUUGUCCUUGACGACGAGCACCGUGUUGCUAAGCAACUGCUAACAAUGGACCUGCUAAUGUUCCACAAUGUGGGCGUGGCCUGAGAGGGUGGAAGGGAAAUGCUUGCACACAAUGAUCCCUGACAAGGUUUGUCAGAGAGGGUGUGAGUGCGCUAGAUUAACACUUCCAGAGUUUUUUUUUUUUUCAAGCUUCACAUUCAAAAGCACUCGAGGUUGAAAAAAAGUUGACCUUCAUUUUGAAGCCACAAGAACUGCUUUAACGUGCCAUCUAGUGGCAGGCAACAGACAUUGCAGCUGAAAGGAGGACAAGAUCCAGUAGGAAGGUGUCACUAUGGAAACAAGAUGCCAAGCAGUGGCACAUUGAAAAAACAACUAAUUUCCAACACGUUUUUGCCAACAUUUCAAUAAAACUCAGGUCUAUAUGCAUCCCCCUGCACCACAAGAUCUUUGUAUUGGUUCCUAUUAUGAAAGUUUGGGAAAUGUUACUGUGGAGGAGUGCCAUAUAGACUAGUCUACACU